rnacentral:rRNA from 1 species
UACAGAGGGUGCGAGCGUUAAUCGGAAUUAUUGGGCGUAAAGAGCUCGUAGGCGGUUUGUCGCGUCUGCUGUGAAAACCCGAGGCUCAACCUCGGGCCUGCAGUGGGUACGGGCAGACUAGAGUGCGGUAGGGGAGAUUGGAAUUCCUGGUGUAGCGGUGGAAUGCGCAGAUAUCAGGAGGAACACCGAUGGCGAAGGCAGAUCUCUGGGCCGUAACUGACGCUGAGGAGCGAAAGCGUGGGGAGCGAACAGG